CUACGGGUUGCUGCCGUAAGGAAUAUUGGGCAAUGGACGCAAGUCUGACCCAGCCAUGCCGCGUGCAGGAUGACAGCCCUACGGGUUGUAAACUGCUUUUAUACGGGAAAAAUUCCCUGGUCGUGCACCGGGGUUGAUGGUACCGUAAGAAUAAGCAUCGGCUAGACUCCGUGCCAGCAGCCGCGGUAAUACGGAGGAUGCAAGCGUUAUCCGGAUUCAUUGGGUUUAAAGGGUGCGCAGGCGGAAUGAUAAGUCAGUGGUGAAAUCCUACGGCUCAACUGUAGAACUGCCAUUGAUACUGUUGUUCUUGAGUACAUUUGAAGUGGGCGGAAUGUGUCAUGUAGCGGUGAAAUGCUUAGAGAUGACACAGAACACCGAUUGCGAAGGCAGCUCACUAAACUGUAACUGACGCUGAGGCACGAAAGCGUGGGGAUCAAACAGGAUUAGAUACCCUGGUAGUC
rnacentral:rRNA from 1 species